GUUUUGGCGCAUUUUAUUUCUUUGGUUUUAACUGAGAUCUGGAGUCAUUUCCAUAGAGCAUUUCUAUGUUUGAAGUAACCAGUUUCAUAGUUAUCACGGAUGUGAGCUGAGAGAUACAGAGGUUGCCAGUGAGAACACUCAGUUCCAUAAACUUUGUGUAGAAUCAUCAGAUUCAACUGUAAUGAACUGGAGCCAUUGUAAUAUAUGUGAAUCGUAUAAACAGUAAAAACUCGAAAGCACUAGUCUUUGUUAGUCAACACCGCACACUAAUCGGACAAUUGCUACGAACCACGGCUUGGUCUUGCCUCAUAAUAUAUUGACUAUUAUAGACCUUCACAAAGGUCAGGGGUAAAGGUCGAACCAUUAUAAUGGCGCCCAACGUGAUUUUUAGUGUGCUAUUGACUAGAGGUGCUGAUAACACUAUUACAUGAAUGCUACGGCAACGGAUAAUAUACCACAAUUAUUAGUUACAUUCCAUUGGAUUUAUGGAUUACCAAUUCACAA